rnacentral:lncRNA from 1 species
AUGGGAAAAGAAAAGUGGGGAAAGGGGUCCCUGUCUCUAUCUAAAUCCUUUCCCCUCCCUCCUCGAGUUUGGGGAGAACUCAGGCCUUGGCAGUCUGAGCCCCCUGAGAGAGUCAGGUUAACUCACCUCUGGGCAACAGGAGCUGAGGUAAAGUCUGUUCAGGUUUCUCUUCAGAAAGUCUCUUCAAAUGGGAAAUGUUGGGGGGGGGGAAGAUUUCCAAUCACCAGCAGGAAAAUCACCUCAGGAGAAAGUCUUUUCCUAACUUCUCUCUUCAGCUCCUCAAGACUGAGUGCCACCAACUUCUCUACCAGCUGGAGUCUUCUCCUGUUCCAGAUUCCCAACUCCUGGAGCCCCUCCCCUGUGGAGGUGAUCAAUUUCACAUACUCUUCAGCCUGGCACUUUUUCUCUAGUGCCAGUCUCUGUCACAGGAUCACAAAUUUAAAGAAAAUUUAAAGACCAAGGAGACCUAAGCCAACCACCUCAUUGUACAAUAGAGAAAAAAAUAUAAAACAGUUUUGAUAAACUUAAAUAGCUAACAUAUUUGACCAAUGUCAAUAUAUGACCCUCAUGGUAUUUAGUAAAAUGGCGACUUUGCCAUUUUGCUAAAAUGAGUUGAAAAUGAAAAAAAUCUCCAAAUUUGCUGAUAGUGAUCCAAUAUUAUAUAUUUUACUGAUAGCAUCAAUGCAUUUAAAAUUUUUUUAUCUUGUUUCUAAAUAACCUUUAAUAUCCAUAUAUAUAUAUAAUUUUUUCUAAUUUUAUAAAAGUUUUUUUGGUAGUUUGAUAGGUAUGGCACUGAAUACAUAGAUUUGGGUAAUAUUGUUAUUUUUUAUAUUAGCUCAUCCUACCCAAGAGCAAUGAAUGUUUUAUCAGUUGUUUAAAACUAGUUUUAAUUGUGUGAAAAGCGUUUUGUAGAUGUGGUCUUAUGAUUCCUGUGUUUGUCUUGCAAAUAGAUUCCUAUAUAUUUUAUAUUGUCUAGGGUGAUUUUGAAUGGAAUUUCUCUAACUCCUCCUGCUGAAUUUUGUUAGAAAUA